CAUAAAUGUGUUGUGUAAAGGGCAGACGUAAUUCCCCUCAAUCUCGGAGUGUGUAUCUGAGUGUAAUACCAACAGUCCGCCGUGAUCAAUGUGCUUUUUCCUCAUCGACGACGACGUCAGCAAGGAGAAGCCGGGACUCAGCUGGACGUCUCUGAAGGCUGGACCCCUGGUUGCCCCUGACAACACAGCCAGUGACAAGAUGGCAGGUUGUCUGAACCCGAGAUGGCAGAGAGCCAGCACUGGCCAGACCUUCAGCCUGGGUGGACGUUCACCAACCUCGACAUCUUCUGCAGCGUCGUGCCUCUGUGCUCUA